AAGCAGGGACCCGCCACCGCCCCGCCGCUGUCGUCAUCACAGGGCGACACGCACCGGAGAAAGACCCCGCGGGCCCGAGCCCCCCACGCCGAGGCUCGCACUAGUGCUGGGAGCUGCAAAUGUAGCAAGUGGGCCGCUAACAAGCGCAGGUGGCUGGCGAGGUCGCGUUCUUGUGACGUCACGGGGCCGCGUUUUCCCCGACGGGGUUCCCUCUCUGGUCGGCGUCAGCAUCUCCCUCUCCCAGGAGCGGCGGAGCUGCGCACGCGCGGUGCCCACAGCGACCGGGGAGCUGGAACUGCCUCAGCCCCGCGGCGGCGGCGCGAAUGUCUGUUGGAAGCACGUGUGGGGGUGGGGGUCUCAUCAUCCCCUUCCCCCACCAAAAAAGCUGGGGCGGCUGUUGCCUGGUGUAGGAGAUUGUGAUGAAUAAGACACGUGAAACAAUUUCCCAAAGGAAGCACUUGUGAACUGGAUCCUGUGCUGGAUUUCCUCAUCAAUGUUCACUCUCUCAGCAAAAUGGCUACCAAGGUGAUAUAGCCAAUGGAUUGGAUUCAGCACAGGCCAUAUGGAUGGUGUUUUUAAACCCCUUCCAGCUUUGGAUGCAGGAAUCACUGGGACAAGCAGUAGGAUAAUUUCAAAGUUUUAUCUAGGGAGACCGCUACAGAAUUUGGAGAGAAAAUAAGAAUAUAGCUGUCAUGUUGCCUUUAGUUAAUCACCUGGCAGAACUCUGUCUUGAGAAACCAGUUAUUGCAAAUGUGAUGCUGAGCUGGAGAACUCGCUGCUAUGUCAGCUCCAACCAAUAAAUUGAAAGAUGAGUUUUAUACCUGUGUUACCCAAGUGAUGGCAUGAUUAUAUUAAGCUAAGUGCGUCCUACAAAGUAAGUAUCCAAGGUAAAACUCUCGGAAUGACUACAGUCUCUCAGGUAUACUUGUGUUUCCCAAAGAAGUUUAGUUUUAGUUAUGUACAAAUUACACUGAAUUGCUAACCUGAGACCAGAGCAUUGUGGUUAGAGGAAAAAAAAUCCAUUAACUACGUCUCACACUGUUUAAAUUACUGUGAAAAACUCCAAAUGUUUCAGAGUUCAGCCUACAAACAUUGCACAAAUGCUAUGGUCAAGAGCACUGACAAGAAGAAAAAGAAUCUUUGAAUUGAUAUGUGAGCUAAAAAUGUCAUCCCUCUUUUUAAAGCUUUGGUUGAAAUAAUUUAACAGUGUAGAGUCCUGGAAAAUUUCUAGGGAAAUUCGAAUUACUUAAGAAUAAUUACAUGCAUAUUUAGUUUUGGGUUUUGUGAAUUAUUGUCUUAAUUACUUAUAAAUGGCAAAGAUCGACAGACUAGCAUCCUGCCAACGUGACUCUGAAUUGAAUUGUCAGUCUUUGAUAAUCAGUUAAUUUCUCUAGUUUCCCAAGUUCUCUUGUACAAAUUGUUGGGUUAAAUUGAAAUGAGCAGCCCCUAAUUCCAUUGACCAGUGAGCUUGAUUCGAGACGGGAUCCAUAGUUCAAUGCUGGUAUGAAAAUCACCUGUCACUUCUAAUAUUGAAGUAGGGAAGUUUGCCUUUAUAAUGAGAUUCUGGUAAGA